AGAAUGUUUAUAGUUGCCUGAACUUACCAUUUUGUUUAAAAAAUAGCACGUUGAUCAUUAAAGGUCACAACACUAUUAAAGCCACUGACACUCAAUCUGGAGGCACUGGGGAGGCCCAUGUACCUCCCUGGACCUUGUGACUUUGUCUUAGAAACGAGGUAGGUAGGACCAGAUCAGUCCUACUCCCAGCUUGGAGUCUCGGGAUCCCUGUGGACUCCAAAUGUAAUAAAAAAUAUCCUCUGGUUACUUUCAAUAUUUCCAAAUAAAACCUAAUAAAAUUAUUCUUUUUCCUUCCAAACGCCUUCCCAGAGCAAUAAAAACAUCACGCUUCUCUCCUGUAGACUGGGGUUAUAGGACUGCAGGGUGGACUCAAAGGUUAUUAGUUAUUUUCACAGUGGAGGGAGGAAUGGGUUCAGGCUGCUUAUGUAACAGCUGCUACUGGUGCAGGGGAGGGGACUGUUACCAUGGAGGCUAACUGGAGAAGUACUUCGGAGCCAGCAAACGGCACAGCAGUUUGAGGGGGGCCACACCACCUACAGCUGGAGAAGGAAGAAAGGAUGUCACGCUUGAAUGGACACAGUUUUUAUACGCUAGUCCCCAAGCAAUUGUGUGGUAGUGGCAGUGACAGCAGUGGCAACAAGGACUCAUAGAAGCCUAAAACUCUGAGAGAGGGGGAAACCUCCUCUCCUGUCAGAAGAGAUGUGGUCCCAAAGGGGGCUUUGGUUUUACAGGCAUGGAAGUACCAACAAAGAGGUGUUUGUGCAGAAGCUGUAGGAUUUCUUCUUCAAUCACCUUCAUCCAUGAAGAGGCCCAGAUGAUGCCCAAAGCAGGAAGAUGCCAGGCAAAAUGGUCACAUGUUCAGACUCUGGAGAUUUAGACAGUGUCAUUCUAAACAAGAUUCUUCUUAGAGUUUUGUCAGUUUGGGGUCUGAACAAAGAUAUGCUCAGAAUCGAAAGCACAGAUAUUCUUGGGUUUUUACAGUCACAAAUUAUAAUGAUAAUUCAUGUUUCAGGAAGCACCUCAAUUUCUCUCUUAGGUUGUGAAAUCCUUCGGUGCCUUCAGGCAAAAGAGGUCGACAUGAAUUAGUCUUGAUUGGUUUGGGACACUGAAAUGAUUCUGGGACAGCAGAGGAAUGCUUGGCACCAAUGUUUCCCAAAUUGAUGCCACAGAACAAUAAUCCCAAAAGCUAUUGAGAGAGGGGGAGGGAGCGAAAGAGGGAGAGGUAGGGAGAAGAGAAGGAAAUAUAGUCUGGAAAACUGGAAAACGCCACAUGUUCUAUUUUUCUCUUGGAGAUUCCCAAUGCAUAUUAAUAUAUUAAUGCCCUGAGAAAUUUCACAGAAAGAAUUCUAUUUGCCUCUAUUUAAUCUGAUUUCCCAAACUUAGUUGACAAUAGGUUGUUUUUCCCAUAUAACUCCAAAUAGUAAUAAUUCAGUUAAACUCACUUUGGUACUCGCUGCUCUACCGCAAACCCAGAGUGUGGACUUUGGUGGCUAAAGAUAGACUUGGCGUAUGCUAAUUAAUUCUUUCUUCUCCGGCUGGGUUCUUUGCCCACUCAGUUUAUCCCAAAAUUCAGGACAAGUUUUCCAAAGACAUAAAGUAGGCACUUGCUCACUUGCUUGAAUGUCAGAGACAGUAGAUUAACAAUAAUAAUCAUAGCAAAUGCAUACCUGGUACUCACUACGUGUCAGGUAUUUUUCCAAGCACUUUAUGUAUGUUAACCAGUUUAGUUGGCGUGACAACCCUUUGACUUAAGCACUAUUAUUAUCCCCAUUUUAUACAUGUGGAAACUGAGGCACAGAGCUACUUGCCCAAGGUCACACACAGACAACAAAUGGCUGAGCCGGGAUUCAAACUAGGCAGUCCGGAUCCAGAGUUCACAUUCUUGACCACAGUGUAUACUGCCUCUCAGAUGAGAUCCAUGCCCUGCUCCCUGAAAUGCCACGGCUAUUCGUCCGUUUCUUUGGCACUGUAAGUCUGUGAUCUUUCAGAACUCCACUGGAAAGCAGUGUCCUCUCAGUGAGCACUGCAAGGCCCUGUGUAGAGGCUGUCCUUUCUCUCUAGAAUGUUUUCACUACUCUUUCUUGUCCGGUAAACUCCUGGUCAUCUUUCAAGACCUAGCCCAAAUGUCACCUCACAGCCCGAUUCCCGGCCAAGAAGCUUUCGCAGAAACUCCGAAGAGCUGUCUGACCGCAGCUGUGGUACAGAUCUUGUCUGUAUUUUGCUGUGAUUGCUUUGCUUUGUAUGCAUGUUUAUUUUUUGUCACCAGCCUAUGACGUUCUCAAUUGCAGAACCUUUGUUUCAGGCACUGUGGUAGGGUAGGCACUGAAGGGUAGAAAGAUGCAUGAGAUGUGGUCCCCGACCUCAGAGAGCCCCCGAGCCUUUUACCACUGUUCUAGAUAGACACACCUGAUAUUUGACAAAGGCUGGAGAGCUGCAAGAAAAGGGUUUUGUGGGCACAGAGGACAGAACAAUUACUGCUGAUUAGAGAGAGGUGAUAUUUGAGCUGGGACUAAAUGAUGAGGAAUUUCAGUGGGAGAAUGAAUGAGUGAAGGAAUCCUUCGGGAAAACAGUUUUGUGAUAUUUUUAUGGCACAAGAGGGAAAGGAUUAGACUUGGAACCCGUACUGGCAGGGGCUGCAGUUGGCCCUGUGACUUCAGGCAAAUCACUUCAUUUUUCUGUGCUUCAGUUUAUCAAUCUGUAAAAUUGGAAUAAUAACCACUCAUUUCCCAGGAUGUUUUUUGAGAAUUAAGUAAAGUCACGUGUGGAAAAGUGCUUUGUGUUAAAUGCCAAAUGCCAUAAAGGUGUUUGGUAUAAUUAUGCUUCUUAAUUCCUCUUGUAUCUUGUCUCUUAAGAAUUCGGUAAGAUGGGAAACAGCGAUUGAGAACUUACUCUGUGGCAGGCACCAUUCUCUGUCUCUUCUGGGUACUAUUUCAUUUACCGUCCCAACAAUCCUAUAAGGCAGAUAUAUUAUUAUUGUGGUCAUUCUACAAAUGAGGAAAACAAGGCGCAGAGAACUUCAGUUGUCCUGCCCAGGGUCACACAGCUAGUAACUCCUGGGGUCCACAUUCAAACCCAAGUGUUAACACAGAGCCCCUGAUCAGAGACUAAAAAUGUAUUAAAGAUCCUCUCAGUCUGAGCCAGCUAUGACACAUCAAUCAGCUGAGAAUGGAGAGAUGCAACAGGUGACCCUCCUCUGAUGAGACAGAGAUCAAGAUCCCCUCUUUCACCUCCAUCAGCGGAUAAAUUGAACAUAUGGUUAGUUAUAAGAACCACAGAGCUCGCAUUUUUCCCCCAGACAUUUUCUGUUCUUUACUUAAACACUGAUCAGAAGAAAAACCAAGACACAAAAGUUAAACUGAUUCCUUUUGUGUGUGUGUAUGAGGAAGAUUGGCCCUAAGCUAACAUCUGUUGCCAAUCUUCCUCUUUUUGCUGAG